rnacentral:rRNA from 1 species
GCAAGUCGAGCGGGCGAGGUUGCUUCGGUAACUGAGCUAGCGGCGGACGGGUGAGUAAAGCUUAGGAAUCUGCCUAUUAGUGGGGGACAACAGUUGGAAAGGGAUGCUAAUACCGCAUACGGCCUACGGGAGAAAGCAGGGGACCUUCGGGCCUUUCGCUAAUAGAUGAGCCUAAGUCGGAUUAGCUAGUUGGUGAGGUAAAGGCCUACCAAGGCGACGAUCUGUAGCGGGUCUGAGAGGAUGAUC